rnacentral:rRNA from 1 species
UACGUAGGGGGCAAGCGUUGUCCGGAAUCAUUGGCGUAAAGCGCGUGUAGGCGGUCCGGUAAGUCCGCUGUGAAAGUCGGGGGCUCAACCCUCGGAUGCCGGUGGAUACUGUCGGGCUUGAGUACGGAAGAGGCGAGUGGAAUUCCUGGUGUAGCGGUGAAAUGCGCAGAUAUCAGGAGGAACACCAAUUGCGAAGGCAGCUCGCUGGGACGUUACUGACGCUGAGACGCGAAGCCAGGGGAGCAAACGGG